rnacentral:rRNA from 1 species
AGAGUUUGAUCCUGGCUCAGGACGAACGCUGGCGGCAUGCCUAACACAUGCAAGUCUAGGGGUAGCAAUACCACUGGCGCACGGGUGAGUAACACGUAGGUUAUCUGCCCCUAUCACAGACAUAACCUCGGGAAACCGAGGCUAAUAUCUGAUGAGGUCGCGAGAUCAAAGCUUCGGCGGAUAGGGAUGAGCCUGCGGCUGAUUAGCUAGUUGGUGAGGUAAUGGCUCACCAAGGCGACGAUCAGUAGCUGGUCUGAGAGGACGAACAGCCACACUGGAACUGAGACACGGUCCAGACUCCUACGGGAGGCAGCAGUGAGGAAUAUUGGUCAAUGGGAGCAAUCCUGAACCAGCAAUGCCGCGUGUGGGAUGACAGGGCUUCGCCUUGUAAACCACUGUCGGAUGGGACGAAAGGAACCCUCGGGGUUCUGGGACGGUACCAUCAAAGGAAGGGUCGGCUAACUACGUGCCAGCAGCCGCGGUAAUACGUAGGACCCGAGCGUUGUCCGGAUUUACUGGGUAUAAAGGGUGCGUAGGCGGCCUUGUGCGUCAGAGGUGAAAUAUCCGGG